GCCAGGUAUGGUGGUGUGCACCUGUAGCCCUAGCUACUUGGGAGGCUGAGGCAAUAGGAUGGCUUGAGCCCAGGAGUUCAAGGUUACAGUGAGCUGUGAUCAUGCCACUAUACUCUAGCCUGGGCUACACAGCUAGACUCUGUCUCUU
ensembl:misc_RNA Metazoa_SRP Metazoan signal recognition particle RNA